AUUGAACGCUGGCGGCAGGCCUAACACAUGCAAGUCGAGCGGAGCGGCGGACGGGUGAGUAAUGCUUAGGAAUCUGCCUGGUAGUGGGGGAUAACGUCCGGAAACGGGCGCUAAUACCGCAUACUAUUAGAUGAGCCUAGGUCGGAUUAGCUAGUUGGUGGGGUAAAGGCCUACCAAGGCGACGAUCCGUAACUGGUCUGAGAGGAUGAUCGGUCAACGUGAAACUGAGACACGGUCCAAACUCCUAGGGGGGACAGAAGGGGGAAAUAUGGAACAAGGGGCAAAACCCUGCCCCAGCCAUGCCGGGUGUGUAAAAAGGUUCUUGGGUUUGUAAAGCAUUUAAGGUGGGGAGGCGUUACCAGCAGAAUAAGCACCGGCUAACUUCGUGCCAGCAGCCGCGGUAAUAC
rnacentral:rRNA from 1 species